UAGGGAAUCUUCCGCAAUGGGCGAAAGCUUGACGGAGCAACGCCGCGUGAGUGAUGAAGGUCUUCGGAUCGUAAAACUCUGUUAGUAGGGAAGAACAAAUGUGUAAGUAACUAUGCACGUCUUGACGGUACCUAAUCAGAAAGCCACGGCUAACUACGUGCCAGCAGCCGCGGUAAUACGUAGGUGGCAAGCGUUAUCCGGAAUUAUUGGGCGUAAAGCGCGCGUAGGCGGUUUUUUAAGUCUGAUGUGAAAGCCCACGGCUCAACCGUGGAGGGUCAUUGGAAACUGGGAAACUUGAGUGCAGAAGAGGAAAGUGGAAUUCCAUGUGUAGCGGUGAAAUGCGCAGAGAUAUGGAGGAACACCAGUGGCGAAGGCGACUUUCUGGUCUGUAACUGACGCUGAUGUGCGAAAGCGUGGGGAUCAAACAGG
rnacentral:rRNA from 1 species